GCAAUUUUCCUAAUUCAAAAAUAAGAUACAACGGGCAGAAAAACAAGAUCAAACAAACAAACGUUUGAGGAGCGUACACAAAGCGGUGGAUUAUGACAUUGAUUGAUAUUCUAAAACAGGAGGGAAAAAUACUUUCCUUCGAUUUUGUCCCUUUCCUUUUCCUUCCCUUCCUCUUCAAGCCUUUUCUAUUUAUUUCUCCACAGUUCAUUCUCCCACUUCCACUCACCCUCCUCUCUCAUGGAUUUAUCUGUCACCAACCCAAAUCCACAAACAGUUAAGAGAAUGAUUUUGAUCUCUCUAGCUUUAUCGAAAUCUCUUUAACAUUUUACGUGUGUAAUGCUUUAUCAGAAAACAGUCUCUCUCUCUCUCUCGUUUCUUGGGAUUUCCUCUUCGUUUGGUGCCUCUGCGUAUUGAUUAAGGCCUUUGAGCCUUACCAUUUUCUUAACAAUGGGGAAUUGCCUUACCCACUCUAAGAAAUCGAAUGCUGAGAUCGCUCCUUACGAUUUCAUCAAAUCUACCACAGCUGUUAAAUUGUAUGGCUCUCCCACCGCCGGCUGCACUGCCUACAUCCGCUUCGCACUUCUAUAUAAGACCCUUUCUGUCCAUUUUUUCCCCACCACCGACACGCCCAAUACGCGACCAGUCCUCCAAAUCGGUUCUGAAACUGUUUCAGGGACGCGCGAGAUGUUGCUCCGAUUUAUCGACGCGAAAUUACCGCAGCCGCCGUUGGUAAUGAAGGAGAGUGAUGGGUUUGGUGAAACGACGCCGUGGGUAGUGAGGGCGGUGUUGUUGCAACAUAGGAGCAUGAGGUGGCACCUGGAAAGGAUGGUGAGGUGGGGAGACGACCUGGUGACGCGUGGAGGGAGGAGGAAUGGGGAUCCGGCAAUGGGUACUCCGAGGAUGGAGAUAAGAAAAUUUAGCAAGAGCUACUCACAGUUGCUGGAGUUCAUGCUUGAACACGCGCAGAUGGAGGAGCGCGUGGUUUUUCCUAUCCUGGAAAUGGCUGAUCGAGGGUUAUGUAGAGCUGCAAAUGAAGAGCAUGCAAGGGACUUACCAAUCAUGAAUGGAAUCAAAGAAGACAUUAAAUCCAUUGGAGUUCUAGACACCGGAAGCCCUAACUACCAAGAUGCUCUCUGCAACCUUUCGACUCGGCUUAAAUCAUUAAUGGAACAUUGCAAAGAGCACUUUGAGGAGGAGGAAAGAGAUGUAUUGCCAUUGAUGGAGGCUGUGGAGCUGAGCAAAGAGCAGCAGUUGAGGGUUUUGGAGCAGUGUUUUGAUCUAAUGCAGGGAACUAAUUCACAUUUGUUCAACUUCCUAAUUGAAGGCCUUCUCCCUUGGGAAGCCAUGCAUUACUUAGAUUUGAUCUUGAGGUGCAAAGACGAAGAAAAGGCAGCCUCCAUGCUUUGCAGGAUUAUUGAAUGAGAUCUAGAGACUGGUUCCAUUUAUAUAGGUACAUAAUAAGAAUGCAUUAUAGAAUUUUUAUUUGUUCAUAGAACCAAUGAUAACGAAUCACCGAAUUUCGACAUGUUCAUAGAAUUAAUGAUGUUUUCUCUACUCUUAUGGGGAAGAAAAUGAUAUUAGUUUGUAAUGCUUUGGGUUUGCAUUUCUGUUGGUGCAUUUUGAGAAUGGUAUUUUUUUAGUUUGUAAUGGUAUUUUGAGAAUGUUCAUAUGUGCAACCUUGGAAUGUAGGAUGCUUAAUUUGCAAUGGGGUCCCGUAGGGCCCAGAUAAUAGUAUUGUUGGGUUUUAUUCUUAAGCAAAA
rnacentral:misc_RNA from 1 species